AUCAUAACAAAAUAACGCUUACACAGACCGAUAAGUGAACGUAGCUUACUGAGUUCCGCGUUUUAUUUUAUUUUAUUUUUUUAAUUUUUUUUAAUGAAAUAAUUUAUUCGCUGUGAUAUAGCAUAAGCGACAUUUUGGAAGCGCGUGCCUGUCCCGUAUCGCCAACUGCCAUUCGGGCCGGAGGAGGCGGCGGUUGGGAACUCGGGUCUACCAACGGACAUCACACCGCGGCUGGUAACGGCAAAGCGGGGAGACGAGUUGGGGGGAGAGAAGGAGAGAGAGCGACCGAACUGCUGAAUAUUUCAUCCCCGCGACUAUUUUUGUGGCAGAUUUCGUGUGUCCCCCCCCCCGCCUUCCCCGGUUUCCUCGGACGAUAAACGCGUGUGUGCUUUUGGGAAGAAGAAGAAGAAGAAGCGGAGGGAGAGUUGAAGCCGGGGCUGGCAUACAAAAUAAAUAAGAAGAGCUCGCUUGUCGCUUUUUUCUUUUUUGUGCCCUCCCUUUCCCCGCGUUGAACGAACGCACGCACGCACACACCGGCCCGGGCCAGCCGAGGACUCUCCCAAAUCCUGCCGGGGCAUCGAGGCUGGCACACGGCGGGGCACCGAGAGCUCCCUGCCCAGUCUGGCUGCCCUGCUGCCCCUCGCUGGUGGCGGGCUUCUCUUCCCUCCUCUCUCUCUCCCUCUCUCUCUCUCUCUCUGUCGGGGCGUCUACCAGGCGAGACAUCGGGGCUCGGCUAGACUUCCAUACCCUGUGGUGCUGGGCAGAGCGUUAUGGCUCAGACGCUGCAGAUGGCGAUCCCUAACUUUGGCAACAACAUCCUGGAGUGUCUGAACGAGCAGCGGCUGCAGGGCCUCUACUGUGAUGUCUCCGUGGUCGUCAAGGGACAUGCCUUCAAGGCCCACCGUGCGGUGCUGGCAGCCAGCAGCUCCUACUUCCGGGAUCUGUUUAACGCCGGGGGAAAGAGCUCGGUGGUGGAGCUGCCCCCGGCCGUGCAGCCGCAGAGCUUCCAGCAGAUCCUGGCCUUCUGCUACACAGGACGCCUCAGCAUGAACGUUGGAGACCAGUUUCUGCUCAUGUACACCGCCGGCUUCCUCCAGAUCCAGCAGAUCAUGGAGAAAGGAACAGAGUUUUUCCUCAAGGUCUCAUCUCCAAGCUGUGACUCCCAGGGCCUCCACACCGAGGAGACUCCAACAUCCGAGCCUCAGAGCCCCGUCACUCAGACCGCGGGAGGCGGCGGAGUCGGCGUUGUUGCCACGGCGGCAGGAAGACCCACCUCCUGCCUGACGCCCCUCCCCCUGGUGUCCAAGGUGAAGACAGAACAAACUGCCUCCACGCCUCAGCCCACCCCGCAGCCACAGCAGCAGGAGGGCUCUCCCUACUCGGUGGUCUGCACCCCCGUGGCCAAGCGGCUGUGGGAGGGUGGCAACCGUGAUGGCGGAGGGGGGUCUGGAGGGGGCGGGGGAGGCGGCAUGAGGAAGGCAGCACGCUACUCCUCCUCCUCCUCUUCCUCCUCAUCCUCCAACAACACUACCCAGGAUGCCUCUGGGCGUGGACCUGCAGCCAAUGCCGCCGUGCUGGGUGGCGGCGGCAACGUCGGCGCCGCUUCAAUGGGAGCAGCCGGACUCAACAGUAACCAUAACAAUAACAACAACAACGGCGGGACCCCUGAAGGCACCAGCCCGGGCACGCUGAGCAUGUACACCAGCGACUCACCAAUCAGCUACCACGACGACGAGGAAGAGGACGACAUAGCGGACGACAGCGCCGAAGAGCAGUACAGACAGAUCUGCAACAUGUACACCAUGUACAGCAUGCUGAACGCUGGAGCGGCAGUGGUCGGCGAGCGGGUGGAGGCCCUUCCAGACUUGGCCCCAGACUCAGGCGGCGGGCGGGGCGGCAGAGGGGCGCGUUCUCGACAGGACCUGGCGUCGCUGCCAGCCGAGCUCAUCAGCCAAAUCGGGAACCGCUGCCACCCGAAGCUGUACGAGGAGGGCGACCCGGCCGAGAAGCUGGAGCUGGUGAGCGGCACCUCCGUGUUCAUCUCCCGCGCUCAGCUCAUGAACUGCCACGUCAGCGCCGGCACCCGCCACAAAGUCCUGCUCAGACGCCUGCUGGCUGCAUUCUUUGACAGGAGCACUCUGGCUAACAGCUGUGGAACUGGCAUCCGCUCUUCAACCAACGACCCCAGUCGUAAACCCCUGGACAACAGAGUGCUGCACGCUGUCAAGUUUUACUGCCAGAACUUUGCGCCGAGCUUCAAGGAGAGCGAGAUGAACGCCAUCGCGGCCGACAUGUGCACCAACGCCCGUCGCGUCGUCCGCAAGAGCUGGAUCCCCAAGCUCAAACUGCUGAUGGCUGACAGCGACGCCUACUCCGCCUUCCUCGCCGACAGCGUGAAGAUGGAGGCUGAUGCUCUGGGGGCAGAGCAGGGCUUUGAUCCUGCCUCCCUGGAGGCGGUGGCGGCAGCAGCCGCCGCUGCCAACAAUAACGACGUGGGAGGCGGAGCCACGCAAGCAGACACCCUCCAGGGGGCAGGAGGAGAUGGCAGCACUUUGUUUUGAGUGAGUGAACGGACAGAUAGAUGAAUGGACAGAUGGACAGAUUGAUGGAGGGAGGGGUGGUGUUUUUCUGGGGCGAUGAGUGGAGAGAGGUGGUCGUGAUGGUGGUUAUCACUCGUCCCCUGGCCGCCACGUGUUUGGGGAUCUGUUUCUUCUUUUCCACCUCUUUCUGUUCUGCUUUCCUUCCCUGUCCAGUUUCCAUCUCUCUCUCUAUCUAACGGCCCACAAUGCCUCUCUUCGGGCUGUUCCUCCUGUCUUUUCUGGUAGAGAGAGUCUGAAAGAUGGAGAGAAAGGUAGCAGAGGGACGAGGCUGACGAAUAGUCACCCCCCCCAAAACACCUCGUCAUUCCUCUGCAACCUUUCAAGAGUGUUUCAGCCUUUAUUUUUUUAUGUUUUUAAAAGUGUGUACUGUCACUGAGGCCCUUUUCUUACCAUAAUCAAUCACACACAUUCCCUGGGGAGGGUGGAGGGGAGGGUGGGGUGAUCCUGUGUGGAGAAAGAAAGCGAUGUAUUUCCUUCCCCAAACUCCGGUAACACUGUUGUUUUGAUAUUGAAUGUAUGCGUGGAGAAGCAUCCGGACCGCAGCGUUGUACGUCAGUGGAGGUCGAGUGAGUCUGUUUUUAUUUGUUUUUUAUCUUUUGCUUUAUUUCGUCUUGGACGGCCUGAUGUGAGCUUUCUCUGAGAACGUGGGGUUGAUGAGGUCAGGGGUGGAAAUGAAUAUUAAUAUGUAUAUCGGCAUGGUUUAUGAUCCCACCCGACCCCAGCGACCCUGCUCUUUAACCCCUGCUGGGCAUGCUGGGAAACUGAGCUCCCAGACUCUUAGAGAAAUGCUGGUGAGUUCUGACGGACGGUGUGGUGGCACACGGGAAAAAGGUUUGCUUGGCCGCCCAGCCUCCCCGACUUCUUAUUGACCCUAAAACAAAAACAUUUCAGUUUAACUUUUGGGUUUUUUUGUUUUUUUUGUUUAAAUUUGUUUCUUUUUGUGUGUGAUUUGUUUUGCCAAGCCUCCCGAAGGAGAGGAAAACGUGUCGCCGAUGAUUGUCAAAGAGUUUGCGCGUGAUAAAUGCACUGUGUUAUUUCCUGCGGUAUGAGUACAAUCGAAACUACUACGUUUUUGUACGUAUCAGAAAGAGAAGAGGGUGGUUUUUAUUUUAAAAAAAGCAAAAAAAAGGAGAAAAAUACGAGCUGAAAUCCAAUUUAUAUAUCCGUUUAUCACCCUUUUUUUUUUUUUUUUUUUUUAAUCUGAAGGAAAGUCAAGAAAAUGAGUUUCUGCCUGUGAGCUUAGGAACGAUGUGUGUGUUUGUGUGUGAGUGUGAGAGUGUGAGUACACGGCAGCGAUGUUCUUUUGUUUUCAGCUCAUGCUUAAAGAAUAUACGCAGCCGUGCCGGUUAGCAGCACAAGUUUCCUCCGGCUCUGCUGCCUGGAUGCGUGCUCGCCUGGCACGGACAAAGGUGCUAAUUCACUCAUUGGUACAUUUACGAGGGAUACAGCUCUGUGUGUGUGUGUGUGUGUGUCUGUGUGUGUGUGUGUGUGUGUGUGUGUGUGUGUGUGUAUGUGGGUGGUAUGUGCGCAGAGGUUGAGAUGAGUGGCUGUUUGUUUUUGUCUGCCUCCUCUGCCUUACACACACACACACACACAUCUGCAGAGUCACACAUCUAUAUCCUCAGCACACAGUCUAUACAUCUGUGCCACAUCGCAUGCAGAUGUGUUGCGGCCAUGUUGCUCGUUACAUCACUGGAAAGUAAAGUAGACUCAGACAGAGCCGAUCAGCAGCACUUCUGUCGCCCUCUUUUAUUCUCCUUCGUCCUCUAGAUUCUCUCCCUCAACAUCCCGUCUCCGCCUGGUUAAACGUCCUGUACUCCUGCAUGGGACAGCGACACACACACACACACACACACACACACACACACACACACACACUCACUUCCCCCCUUCCAUCUCUUCAUUUCCUCCCUCCCUCCCUCUUUGCCCUCGCCUGCCUCCCUCUGUUUUCUAUUUUCUUUGUUUACAUCUCUUUCCACCUCACCUCCUCUUUAGGUAUACAUUUCCAUCUCACUCCCUUGUUGUCCCUAUAUGUCUCUCUCUCUCUACACACACACACACACACACACACACAGAGGAAGGAGCUAAAUGGUGUUGGUCCCUCGUUGCUUCAUUAUGUAAACCAUCAUUUUCCAUCCGCCGCUGCUUCAGUUGCUGAUUCUGUGUCGACUCCAUUUUCCUCAUAGAAUGCAAAUCCCUGCCAAACUCUCACCCGUAUAUCUGUAUAACCGUGUGUGUGUGUGUGUGUGUGUGUGUGUGUGUGUGUGUGUGUGUGUGUGUGUGUGUGAGAGAGAGAGAGUGUUUGCUGUCUACAACAACAGAUGGGGCUGCCAAAUAUGCUGCUGCAUGUGUGUGUGUGCAUGUGAGCUAUUUGAAUGCAAAUAUGCAAAUAAAUGGGUGGAGGUACAUCUGACCGGGCACAUCAGUGUGUGUGCUGCGGCCGACGAAUCACAACGUCCACACGAGCGACAGGCAGCCAAUCAUGACGUAAAUAACGACCAUACUGUCAGAAUUAAGUGACCAAGUGGGGUUAAAAAAAUAAUUACAAUCAUCCUAGACUUGAGCAGUGAGGGACGAGGGAGGAGGAGGAGGAGGUGGUGCCGUUCUUCCUGAGGAGGAGAUGUUUGUUAAGAAUCUCCCAGGACAGAUGAGGCAUUGCGGCAGUCUGCCGUCACAUGAGCGAAGCCACAAUCCAGACAAAGAGACAAGAGUGAGAGGAGAGAGGAGGAGGCUAAUGACAGAGAGGAGGAGGAGGAGGAGGAGGAGGAGGAGGAGGAGGUGAUCGUCUCUCUCUGGCCCUGUGCCACAAAGAUAAAUACCUGGGUGCUUGUUUAUUUAUGUAGCGUGGCGUUGUGCAGAGGGGUGGGGUCAUGGGCUGAACGAAUUAAACCAUCGACUUUUCUAAAACAAAAACCCUCAAAAUGACCCCGACCAGACGAGCGCCCGCUGACCGGACCACGCGGGGAUCCAGAUAAAGAAUAACGCCUCUGCAACUUUAGCUGAGAUUGAGCUGUGAUCUUUUUGUUCCCCCACACAAAGAUGAAAUUGCACUAAUUAUGUGGAGAAAAUGUCUUUAAUGUCCAGAAACACAUUUGGCUGAAUGUUUUUACCCGAUUUUUUUUUAAAGCACUGCGAUAUGAUAAUGUGAAGACGUCUGUGGCUGCAGCUGUUGGAGGUGAUCUCCACCUCAUCGGCGGUCAGUCGUUGGUGCAUCGGCAAACCUUCUGUAGUCGACACUUACAGGUCAGGAGAAACGAAUUGAUUUAUGAAUCAGCAGCAGACAGUUUUAAGUAGUGCAGUGGUUCCUGACCUUUCUGUGCUUGUGACUCCACAACAAAAUCAUCCCACGUUCAGAUGAACCACAAAGUUCCUGUCUCACUUUUCAUUUAAAUAAAGAAAAUCAGUGCUGUUAACUGUCACGCUCAGGAAGCCAGACAAGUAAAAAAACAAUGUUUUUAAGCUAAAUAAGAGGUGUUAGAAAUGCGUUGAUCCAGAUUUGAAUGAUAUUUUCUUUAAUAACGUCUUUAGUCACGUUUCUCUGUGACUGAUAACACAUCUGUCCACAGCGGAUGUUAAUUAAGGUGUUAAUCUGCUUAUUCUGCCUGAAGUUAGAUACAAAUCUAAAGACUGUUUAACUCACAAAAUAAGGCGGAAUCUAAAUCAGCAGAAUAUAUAUCAUCCGCUGGAUAAACAUAUUAAUGAAUGUCGUUUACCUGACAGGUUUUCUGAGAAUAAGACGAUUUAACAGUUAUACUGCCGCUCGUAUGUGGAAAGUUGAGCUUCGCCUUUUGUAUUUGUUGAUAAUAACUUUAAUAUCAUUUGUUUUUUGUCAAACAAGAUAUGAAAUUUCAAUGCCCAAUUGAACAUACACACAACUUUUUAAGACAAAAAGGCAAUAAUUUGUGUAAAUGUUUGAAUCUAAAUGUACUUUUAUCAUCUAACGACCCCUUAAAUUCGUCAGUCGUCAGGUCGGGAACCACUGCAGCAGCGAUGUUGGUCUAAAUGUGGGCUUUCAUUUUUUUAACGCAGGCGGGAAUUCGAAAUUGAAUUUGAAGGUUUUGUACUUUUUGGAAAAAGUAACAUUUGUCACUGUGGAAGAUUUUUUUUAAAAAAAAGUUCUUAAAAAAAGCAAAGAAUGUGGAAGUUGUGACUGUGGAGGGUUUCAGGCAGAUCCAACACUUUGCGCUGGCUUGUCGGUUGCUUGGCCCGGUUCUCCUGGGGGCCUCGGGGUGCACAGGGGUUCUCACAUCCAGGGGGUUUGGAGGAACUGGGCGUACUUCGAACGAGCGCAGCAAAAGGGAUAUUUUCCGUUAUAUCCGUCUGUGUCUGUCGCGUUUCCUCUCUGAUUGGGAGGAAACUUUACGAGCCGGUAGCCGAGUGCUGCCGAGAGAAUACAGAGGAUGAUUUCCUACAGAAGUUUUGAACACUCCUCUGCCCUGCAAAGAGCAAAACGUGGAACAGUAAAUCUUCGUCAGCCGAGUACCAAGGGCUGCAUAUCACAGAGUAUCUUCUGUUUUUUUAAAUUUAGGACACAGGUCGCAGCUUUUUUUUGCCUCUUUGUAGGGCAGCUAUGUCUGAGCACAGUGUUACGACUAAAGGUUGAGCGGGGCCAGAGCAGACGUUUGCUUUCUCGAAGCGAUACGAGUUUGAUAGAAGAGCUUUGUACACUUUUUUUUUUUUUUUUUUAAUUUUCUUUUAAACUUUCACAUUUAAUUUUCUGUUUCUAUUGUGUUUUUGUUUUGUUUUCUACAUUUGAGCUAGUGUACUGUAGUCCUUGAGAGGUAUUUUGAGACAGAUGCUACUAAUAAUCCAACAUUAACACCAUGUACGUACGUAGAGUUGCCAAGAUGUGUAAUAAAAAAAAAAAGAAAAUAAGUUUUAAAAAAAAAGAGAGAGAGAAAAAGAGAAAGUGGAGACUUGGUUAGCUGUAAAAUAGUUUUAGAGAAAGAGAACCACAUAUUUUUGCAUUGCGAUUGUUGUAUGACUGAGGUGCUGCGGGCGGGCGGGUUGAGGGGUUUGGGCUUUAAAAUGCUGGAACAGAUGUUUGGUUUUUACUGUACUGCAGCCGUCGUCGGGCAGGACGGGCGGAUUGGACCGACUGAUGGACGGACGGACAGUCGGAGCGAACAGAACACUGCUGGGCUUACUUCAUUUAAAGGCUACGAGUCUGAAUGUCUGUUUAAAAGAAAAUCUCCUCACGGAUUAAAACCUUUACUCUCCAUUGUCUUGUGGCGAUUUAAAUACGUUUCUAACCGACAUGAACUUCCAUUAGAAAACGACCCAAAGUAAGUUUACUUGACCUGGUUCUGGAACCAGCUUUUCCACAAAGAAUAAGCUACUGCUGCUUGAAUGUUUGUUUUCUGUACUCACACCACCUGGUGGCCAAACGCAGCUACCGCGGCUCAGAGAACCUGGGGGGGGGUUUCUCACAACCGCAGGAGCUGCUGGCGCCACCAGAGGGCGAGAUCCCAAGACGCAGUGAUCCAACGCAAAGCUACGAUUGUAAUGAGUCUCGAUCACUGUAUCCAUCCGAGCACCUUAACAGCAGACGGCCGGAGGCUUCUGCUGCUCAUCUUUCUCUACAAAUCCGACACAAGACGCAAAAACCCGCCAAAAUAUCCGCCGCAUGCGGACCAAGAUGCCAAAUAAAGCUGUCGGUAGAUUGAAAAGUUGCUGACGAGACUUUUCCAAAAGAAAACAAAAAACAAAAAAGAGCCCAGCGGCUGUUAUUUUGUGCUCCGACCCGUCCGUCCGUUUCUUCUGCUUCCUGUCCGGAUCCCGGCUCGGCUGCAGACCCACAGAGAGGAUUAAAAGUGACAAAGUAGAGAGUGAAAUAAUCUUUAACAAAAUUUUUUUAAAAAAGCACCUUUGGGCGAGCGCUCAACUGUCCCGGAGAGCCGAAGCCCUCUGCACCUUUCUGAGCACGCUCACUAUGUCACUUCCUGUCUGUGGUUUGGAUGCUGGCGUCAGAAGUGGGACUUUGUGUUGACCGUCGGGGGGUCGGGGUGGGAUCGAGAUGUAAUGUGAGGGUUCUUUUUGUAAGUUCCUUAUUUUUGUUGUUUUUAUCUUUUUGUACUAUUAUUCCCUUUUUUUUUAUUGUUUUUGUUUUCUCUUCUCUUGAUGACAUUUGUUGUUUACUGUAAAGGUGAUGAUGAUGAUGAUGAUGAUCAUGUGCCCAUCGACCUGUCUCCCCCCCAGGUGGGAAGUGGGAGCGUAGACUGUGCAAACUGGGGGAGUUGAGGUGGGUGAGGGGUUUAAAGGGUGAAGGUUGGAGUUGGUUCAGACAGGGUUCCUACACUGAUCUGGAAUCUGGGACGAAGUGAUUUCUGAUCAUUUUCCAGGUCUUUGAGAAUCAGCAAGAAAAACUGCUCACUCAGCGAGUAUUUGAUGAUCGGAUCCAAACGAGCACAAAGUUUCGUCAAACAAAUCACAGCUUGAAAAUCUCUUUUUAAAAAAAAAUACAGAUUCAGGCUGAUGUCGAGCAGAUUUUCACGUCUGAUUUUCAAAAUCAGUCAGCGAAGCAAAGAUGGACGACUUCAGCGUCCUCCUGUUAUCAGUUCCCACCAAAAUGCUUGUGAGGUUUUAACUUGUUCUGUCAUAUGUGUUGUACGGAAAUGCUUUUUUUAACAUGUCAAAGGAAAAAUCCACCCUCAGAAUCACACGUGCUACUGGAUUCACCAGCAGACAUGGAGGAGAGUUCGUAUUCAUUCGGCUUCAUGUUUUAUUUUGUUUUUGUCCAACACUGACUCUGCUUUUUGCUCUGUUUUGGUCUCCACCAGCUCCAGUCGCUGCAAAAAAAAGCUCAACUGUUUCCGUCAGCUGGUCGCUAACUUUGCUAAUCUGCCGUUAGGUGCUGGACAGUUGACGAGUCAAAACAGUUGAUUUACUGGCUUUAAAAAAAAACAAAACGAUCAGCUGAAAGAUGCCAAAUAAUAAUAAUAAUAAUAAUCAAUCAAAAGCAAAUUAAAUGCCAGCUACUUGAUCAUCAGCUGUCAUUUUGUUUGGCAGAAAUUCCAAACAUUUUGCAGGUUCCAGCUUCCUGAAUGUUUGGAUUUGCUGCUCUUCUUUGUCAUUCACGACAGUAAAUGAAGAGUCUUUUGGAUUUUGGUUUUGAAAGAACAAAUUUGAAGCAAUACUUGAGCUUUUUGCAGAGUUGUUGACCGAUCGAUUAAUCAGGAAAAAAAGGAAUCUGUAGUUUGAUCUCCAGCCACAGGACACGUCGAGCAAAAAACUUCUGGUAAACCGCUCGUCACCAGAUGAAUUCUUGUAAGCAGAGGGUGGAUCUUUCCUGUGUAGGGACCCGGCUGAGAGUCCGGAUGAAUGUCAGGAGUCGUGUCAUUAAGUGUGUUUUUUUUUUUUUUUUUAAAAAGAAAAAAAAACUGGCUUAAACUUGAGAACAGACGAGCGAGAGGAAGUGGAUGUGAGUCGGUUUCUGAAUCCAGAUCGGGAGGUUGAAUCCUCCUCGUUUCUCUCUCUCUCUCCCUCCUCCAUCCCUUCCUCUCCAGCUCAGCAGCCUUCCUCCUCAUCUUCCUCGGCGCUGCUGCCUGACCUCAUCGACCCCUCGCCCAACCCCUCCCCCUCCCCCCACGACACCUCGCGCUCCUCAAGCUCCGCGAGUCUCUCUUUUUUAUUUUUUAUUUUUCCUGCCGUCUGCAGGUUCCGUAGUCUUCUAUCCAGAACCAUUUACUCCGCUCUCCCAAAUCCCCACACACCAGAGACAAACACACAGUCACACAAAUAUAUAUAUAUAUAUAAAUACUGUAUAUGUAUAAAUGAAUACAAAAACGGGCAAACCUCUGAGAUGCAGAAGCUCGCACACACACACACACACACACACACCUGCGGACUCUCAGGAUGCGACGCCGGACGUGUGUGUGCGUGUCUUCGCGUCACUGAUGCAGUUUUAAAAAAAAAAAAUUAAAAAAAAAAGUCGUACCAGUUUACCUCGGGAGCUCUCAGCCAUAGCAGACCUUAAUCUCCACAGAUAUAUCUCAGCGCUGCCAGCAGCUUCUGAACUGCUGUGGCUGCCGUUACAAAAGCAGGUACAUUUUUUUUUUUUUUUGGUUUUGUUUUUUCAGGAACAAAAAAAAAA